UACGUAGGGAGCAAGCGUUGUCCGGAAUCAUUGGGCGUAAAGCGCGCGUAGGUGGCUUCGUAAGUCCGUUGUGAAAGCAAAGGCUCAACCUUUGAAAGCCGAUGGAUACUGCGGAGCUAGAGUACGGAAGAGGCGAGUGGAAUCCUGGUGUAGCGGUGGAAUGCGCAGAUAUCGAGGAGGAACACCAAUAGCGAAGGCAGCUCGCUGGGACGUUACUGACCACUGAGGCGCGAAAGCGUGGGGAGCGAACAGG
rnacentral:rRNA from 1 species